GAUACAAGCCAUCUUAUCGCUGCGACUAGAGCAAUCAAAAUCGGAGAGGAAAGUCCGGGCACCAUAGGGAAGCAUAGCGGCUAACGGCCGUCAUCCACCGAAGCUUUAGCGAAGGUGGAGAGGACAAGUGCAACAGAAAGGAUGUACAGGUAAUGCUGUAGUGAAAUCAGGUAAACUCUAUGCGGUGAAAUGCCACAUAUACCUGCGUUUGAGGGUUCCCGCCCGAUGCAGGAGGGUAGGCAGAUUGAUCCCGCCAGUAAUGUCGGGACUAGAUAAAUGAUAAGAGCCCCGACCUGUCGGGGAACAGAACCCGGCUUAUCGGCUUGUAUCUUUU
rnacentral:RNase_P_RNA from 2 species